CAUUUUUUAUUUAUUUAUUAUUAUUUCACAGAGAAUUCCUCAUGGAACUCUGGGAAAAUUAUUUGCUACUUCACCUGAAUACGCACACAACCAUUUUCUGAAAAUUGAAGCUUUAUGUAUGCAUUGGUUUCUUAUCGUUCUAAGGACUAAUCACAGAAAUGGGGAACACAGUGCACGUCAUAUUCGUUUUAACAUUAUAACUUGUGUGUUCAGUGCAUUCGCAUGUUUUGAUUUUGAUGUCUAUAACUAUGAUAUGACUGCGUAAAUGAUCAUGGAUAUGAAAAAUCACUCAUUCCCUUUUUGUUUUCUUAUAUCUCCAUCAUCGUCGGAACUUAGAACAGUUGUCAGUCGUCAAUUUUUAUUUAUUUAUUUAUUUUAUGUAUGCUAAUGCUACUAUCUACAGGAAAUAGUAUUUGAAUUUUGUAACUUGAGCAUGAUGCAUGUUCUGACGUGAAAUUCAACGUGAUCAGAGAGGAUUUCCAUUCCAAUGCUCAACAAGUAUGUGGAGAAACUACGUAGGGCAUAAUAAAAUCACAUGGUGAAAGCUGCGCAGAUCAUAUGAGGCACCACUAGGAACUCAGAACCAACCAAGAACUGCUGAUAACUCAAGUGAUGCACACGUUCAUCAUUCGGAUAAUGAAGAAAUAGGUGGCGACAUACGGGCAAUCCUUUCUGUGCAGCUUCCUGUUUACAAAGAACAUUAAAAGGACCAUUUUAAAUGCUUGCUGAGUUUGCUCAAUAUAAAGUUAAAUUAGUGUGUAACGGUAGAUUUUGGGAUCACCUUCACCAGUUGAAGUCGGUAAAAUUUCCAUGCUACGUAUACUUUUGCUGAGCGCGCAAAAUGAGAGAAAGUUUGUUGAUUUGAGUAAAACUGGCUGUUACAUGAUGGUUUGUUUCCCUGCUUGUUGGUCAAACAUCAGUAACUCAUUUCUAUCACAAACUUUAAAUGAUGAAAUCUAUUGAGUAAUAGAAUAAGUAUGUAACAGAACAUUUGUAUGAUCAGCUAAGUUGCUCCACUCUACAUGGACAAUACCGCAUCACUUUUAGUCCCUUUUCAGAGUAAUGUAUUUCACUUACUUCAUGGGUGCGGAAGACUGUGGUAAAAGAAUUUAGCUCCAUCCAUCUCAAAAGCAAUUCUUCACUUCUACUAUAUUUAACUAUAGUGAUUCAAGGGAAGCAUUACCGGAGCUAGACAGGGAUUGCAAUAUGUCAUCACUUUUAUAUGCUGAGAGCUAAG